CGCAACGAGCGCAACCCCUAUCUUUAGUUGCCAGCACGUAAUGGUGGGGACUCUAAAGAGACUGCCUUCGCAAGAAGUGAGGAAGGCGGGGACGACGUCAAGUCAUCAUGGCCCUUACGCCUAGGGCUACACACGUGCUACAAUGG
rnacentral:rRNA from 1 species